rnacentral:rRNA from 1 species
AACGAACGCUGGCGGCAGGCUUAACACAUGCAAGUCGAACGCCCCGCCAGGGGAGUGGCCGACGGGUGAGUAACGCGUGGGAACAUACCCUUUUCUACGGAAUAGCUCUGGGAAACUGGAAUUAAUACCGUAUACGCCCUACGGGGGAAAGAUUUAUCGGGGAAGGAUUGGCCCGCGUUGGAUUAGCUAGUUGGUGGGUUAAAGGCCUACCAAGGCGACGAUCCAUAGCUGGUCUGAGAGGAUGAUCAGCCACAUUGGGACUGAGACACGGCCCAAACUCCUACGGGAGGCAGCAGUGGGGAAUAUUGGACAAUGGGCGCAAGCCUGAUCCAGCCAUGCCGCGUGAGUGAUGAAGGCCUUAGGGUUGUAAAGCUCUUUCACCGAUGAAGAUAAUGACGGUAGUCGGAGAAGAAGCCCCGGCUAACUUCGUG